AAGUCGUAACAAGGUUUCCGUAGGUGAACCUGCGGAAGGAUCAUUAUUGAAACUUCUUUGGAAGUAGUACUGUUGCUGGCCUUGUAAUGAGGUAUGUGCACGUACUACUUCUAAUCUAUUCAUCCACCUGUGCACUUAUUGUAGGGGUUUUUUGAGGUUAGCUUGUUUGUAGGCUUCGGCUUAUGCAGGUUGACUUUAAAAAGGCUUCUAUGUCUUACAAACCUAUUGAAGUAUGUUUUAGAAUGACAUUUAUUGGGACUUUACUGGCCCUUUAAACUUAUACAACUUUUAGCAACGGAUCUCUUGGCUCUC
rnacentral:misc_RNA from 1 species